rnacentral:sRNA from 1 species
GUGUCUCCAAGAUGGCCGCUUGGGGAAGGAGGCGUCUUGGCCCGGGCAGCAGUGGCGGCAGCGCCCGAGAGAGGGAACCAACAGUGUUUGUAAUGAAGAACAUCAGACUCUGAGCUGUAACCUGAAUUCUUGUCCAAAAUUCAGCACACUGGCAACGAGCACAUCAAACAGAUUGCCACUUGUCCUGUCGGCGUCUUUGAGACACACUUGCCCAUCUAGGAAAGCACAGUGCAGGGUGAGCUUGUCGGCCACAGACUGCUACAUUGUGCAUGAGAUCUACAAUGGGGAGAAUGCCCAAGACCAGUUUGAGUACGAGCUGGAGCAGGCCCUGGAAGCCCAGUACAAGUACAUUGUGAUUGAGCCCACUCGCAUCGGCGACGAGACGGCCCGCUGGAUCACCGUGGGCAACUGCCUGCACAAGACGGCCGUGCUGGCGGGCACCGCCUGCCUCUUCACCCCGUUGGCGCUGCCCUUAGAUUAUUCCCACUACAUUUCCCUGCCCGCUGGUGUGCUGAGCCUGGCCUGCUGCACCCUCUAUGGGAUCUCCUGGCAGUUUGACCCUUGCUGCAAGUACCAAGUGGAGUACGACGCCUAUAAACUGUCGCGCCUGCCUCUGCACACACUCACCUCCUCCACCCCGGUGGUGCUGGUCCGGAAGGACGACCUGCACAGAAAGAGACUGCACAACACGAUAGCACUGGCCGCCCUGGUGUACUGUGUAAAGAAGAUUUACGAACUCUAUGCCGUAUGAUUUCAGUAGAACAGGGAGCGAAGCAAAACCACCCGGCCCACAAGAGACAACAGAGUAUUCAGAUCGCC